rnacentral:rRNA from 1 species
GAGUUUGAUCAUGGUUCAGGAUGAACGCUAGCGGCAGGCUUAACACAUGCAAGUCGAGGGGCAGCACGGGUAGCAAUACCUGGUGGCGACCGGCGGAAGGGUGCGUAACGCGUGAGCAACAUGCCCUAUACAGGGGAAUAAACCAGGGAAACUUGGUCUAAUGCCCCAUAGCAAUAAGAUAAGGCAUCUUAUUUUAUUUAAAGCUUCGGUGGUAUAGGAUUGGCUCGCGUGACAUUAGCUGGAUGGUGGGGUAACGGCCCACCAUGGCGAUGAUGUCUAGGGGUUCUGAGAGGAAGACCCCCCACACUGGGACUGAGACACGGCCCAGACUCCUACGGGAGGCAGCAGUGAGGAAUAUUGGACAAUGGAUGGAAAUCUGAUCCAGCCAUGCCGCGUGCAGGAAGACGGCCCUAUGGGUUGUAAACUGCUUUUCUACGGGAGCAAUAAGGUCUACGCGUAGACUGAUGAGAGUACCGUAGGAAUAAGCAUCGGCUAACUCCGUGCCAGCAGCCGCGGUAAUACGGAGGAUGCGAGCGUUAUCCGGAUUUAUUGGGUUUAAAGGGUGCGUAGGCGGCUUUUUAAGUCAGCGGUGAAAUUUUGCAGCUUAACUGUAACAGUGCCGUUGAUACUGGGGAGCUAGGAUUUGGUUGCUGUGGGUGGGAAUGUGUGGUGUAGCGGUGAAAAUGCUUAGAGAUCACCACAGAAUAUCGAU